rnacentral:rRNA from 1 species
CCUACGGGUGGCAGCAGUCGAGAAUCAUUCACAAUGGGGGCAACCCUGAUGGUGCGACGCCGCGUGGGGGAAUGAAGGUCUUCGGUUUGUAAAUUCCUGUCAUGUGGGAGCAAAUUAAAAAGAUAGUACCACAAGAGGAAGAGACGGCUAACUCUGUGCCAGCAGCCGCGGUAAUACAGAGGUCUCAAGCGUUGUUCGGAAUCACUGGGGGUAAAGCGUGCGUAGGCUGUUUCGUAAGUCGUGUGUGAAAGGCGCGGGCUCAACCCGCGGACGGCACAUGAUACUGCGAGACUAGAGUAAUGGAGGGGGAAACGGAAUUCUCGGUGUAGCAGUGAAAUGCGUAGAUAUCGGGAGGAACACUCGUGGCGAAGGCGGGUUCCUGGACAUUAACUGACGCUGAGGCACGAAGGCCAGGGGAGCGAAAGGGAUUAGAUACCCCAGUAGUC